rnacentral:rRNA from 1 species
UGGUGGAGUGAUUUGUCAAGUUAAUUCUGGUAACGAGCGAGACCAUCGCUGCAUGCCCUUCGGUGGGUAUGCAGGACUCAUUAGGUGCAACUAUUGGGAAGCGGGUGGCAAUAACA